UGCAGAGGUCACUCCUGUGGGGUUUCUCAACACACCUGCUGUGGGACCAACCUCUGAUUAAUAGGAUCACAGUGAGACUCAACGGACCAUAGAGAUGCUCUGAUUAGAAAUCCUCUCAUUAACCAAAGAGUUCCAGGAAAUAAAUCAAAUUAAAACCCAGAGCAAGUUUUGCUUGCACCUUCCAUGCAAGUUAUGGUGGCCACGUGGAAAG
rnacentral:lncRNA from 1 species